CAACUCGACUGCACGAAGUCGGAAUUGCUAGUAAUCGCGGAUCAGCAUGCCGCGGUGAAUACGUUCCCGGGCCUUGUACACACCGCCCGUCACACCAUGAGAGUCGGGAACACCCGAAGUCCGUAGUCUAACCGCAAGGAGGACGCGGCCGAAGGUGGGCUUGAUAAUUGGGGUGAAGUCGUAACAAGGUACC
rnacentral:rRNA from 1 species